AUGGGGAACGCACCAUCAGAAGCUCACAUGGGCGACCGUCUGAGAUGCUGUAAAUGUAAUAAAGUUCUGCCUCCGUGCUACUCCUUCUCGGACAUUUACCAGAGCACCAUCCAUGGGCGCAACGUGUACGUCUUCAGAGGUGGAGAAUAUUACAGACCAGUGGGCCACGAUAAUGCAUACGAGUGUGAAUAUUGUUUUAAUAAACCAAUAAGAGACGAGGAGAGGCGGAGAGAAGAAGAAAGAAGGAGAGAGGAGGAGAGGCGGAGAGAAGAAGAAAGAAGGAGAGAGGAGGAGAGGCGGAGAGAAGAAGAACGAAGGAGAGAGGAGGAGAGGCGGAGAGAAGAAGAACGAAGGAGAGAGGAGGAGAGGAAGAGAGAAGAAGAACGAAGGAGAGAGGAGGAGAGGAAGAGAGAAGAAGAACGAAGGAGAGAGGAGGAGAGGCAGAGAGAAGAAGAAAGAAGGAGAGAGGAGGAGAGGAGGAGAGAAGAAGAACGAAGGAGAGAGGAGGAGAGGCAGAGAGAAGAAGAAAGAAGGAGAGAGGAGGAGAGGAGGAGAGAAGAAGAAAGGAGACAAGAAGAACUAAAUCAGAGACUUGAAGAAUCACACCAGCAAGCUGAAGAGCAGCUUGAGAAACAGUUGAAUAGUGACAUCUCAGAGGAACAGGAGUCCAAGCGACAAGUUCUAAUCAGCUGUCUGGAUGAGUUUGAACCCAACUGUGAACUGAAGAGUGACCGUGAUGAGCUUCUGGAAACCCUCUCAUCAAAAUGUAGCAUCGCUGUUUCAAACCUGAGUCCUGCUCAGCUGACUUCAGUCCAGCUCGGGAACAUCUUGUCAGCCCUGGACAGCCUUCUGUUUGCUGAAUGGAUAUGUGCUCCUCCAUCCCUUAGUACUCUGGAGCACGCUCAAGUGUUCCUCGCAGAACUGUGCACCCUGUCUAUGGAGCUAUCUGAGGAGCUUUCUCUACAGUGCAUCUCCAAUAAGGUUCAGUCCUUUGUGGGGUCCAUCAGCCAGAUGGCAUCCAAUGCUUAUGAGGGUCUCCUGCUGACUCAAGCCCUGUACCUUAAUGUGAGGCACCUAGUCUCUGGCCAAGACAGCUGUGAUGCACUUCUCAUUGCGAAACGAUGGGCUGAAGAGGACCUUUCCACCGAGGACCUGUUUCUUGUAGAAUUUCUUGGCACCCUCACAUCAUCACUACAGAAUGUGGUAGAAAGAGCCUCCUUGUUCAUUUUAAAUAUGGAAAUCAAGUGCUUGGAGCUUCUCUUAUUUACACUGACACAUCUGAAGGACAAGGAAAGCCACUCAGAACCAGCUAAAAUGCUCCUCAGACUUGUGGAAAAAAAUGAAUGGACCCCACCUGAGACAGUGGCUCUUCUCAAAGCACUUUCUGAGAAAUACACAGAGGAUGGUCCAGUGAGUGACAUUCUCAUGCUGGUGAACGUGUAUGACCUGUCACCAGAGUGGACUGAUGACUCCGGACGCUCCAUCAUUCAGGCUCUGGACUUUGUCGGCCCUGAGAAGUUCCAUCUGGAGUUCCAAACGAUCCUCAGGAAGCAAGACGAGAACAAUCUGGACUCGGCUCUAACAGACUUAAAAUCUUGCAGCGAUGUGGACGAUUCUGCUGUUGGUUUGAUAAAAAUCGUUAUCAGCAGCGUCCUUCGGUAUUCCGAAGAUGCUCCAAAGGUCCAACCGUUUAUGAAAUAUUCCUGUAAACGUUCAGACCUGAGCGCAGAUGACGUCCAGAACUGUCUGUCUCGGCUCUGCAAAGCUGUUUUUGACACGAAAGGCUGGUGGCCCACCGUGCAGCACAUGCUGCGGUGGUGUGUGUUGGUGCUAACGGAGAGUGGUGGACCACCAGAACUGGUGGGUGUAGAAGAGGAGCCAUGCGUCACGGCCAUGUUUGCAGCAGCUCAGGUCUGCAUGGGCAACAAGCUGGACAUUGUGCUAAGCUCUGAUAUUCAGUCACGGGAGCACGUCAACGAGUGGUCUGACUUCUACAGGUUCCUCGGGAUGUCCCUCAACACGAACGUGAACCAGGAACACGUGUCACCGUGGGACCUAUAUGAAGCAGACGUCGUGUGCGGUACCAUGGACUUCUUUAUCUCUGAUUACUUCCAUCACGGCUUAGAGGUAAUGGAGACGGGACGUUCUCGCCAUGCCAGAGGAUUUAUCAUUGGAGAAAUCCAUAAUCUGGAACCUUCAAGACUUGAGGAAAACAACACGCUAGUGUUCGCUGCUGAGACCCUGAAGAACCUCAUUGGUUGUUUUCACAGUGGAGAUAUGGAAGCGAGAAAUGGGGUCAUCAAGGCCAUUUUCCAGGUGCUCCACAUGAACCUAAAUAAAUGCACAGAUUCUGAUGCUAAAAUUGUGACCAUCUUACAAACAUGUGGUGGAGAAGCACUUCCUCCUGUCCAGGUCUACAUUCUAAACCUUCUCGAGGGUGUCCUGAAAUUGCUACGGGGAGAACCAGAAGGCACGUUGUGUUUGGAGAGUUUAUUUGCUUGUGCGGGGCGAGCCGUGAAAAGAGAAGCGACCACAGAACUCUUCCAGAAGGCGUCAAGUAUUGUAGCACAACGGCUUUGGUCACCAGUAGAAGUCUUGAAUCUUCUGGCAGCAUUAACAGACCACUAUCAGGAUGAGGCCACCAUCAUGAAGAUUCUGCAUCUCAUGGAAACAUAUCAGGUGUCUUCUGAGUGGACCGAUGAGAAGAACCGUUCUGUCCCUCAGCUUCUGUGCUCUUCUGAAAUAAAGAACCUGAUCCAGCAUUUAGAGAAGAGUUUCAGAGUUGAGAAGGAGAAGAGCAUUGACUGCCUGUUUGAUGAAUUGCGGCAAAUGAAAACCAUUGAUGAAGGAACGCUGGAGAAAUCGUACUUUAUAGUAAAAGGUGUGCAAAACUUGAUUGAAUCUGGUGAAAUGGAAGCCCACAGAGAUGUGCAGCAAGCGAAGAACCUGAGUCACAGCGUGGACGAGGAGGACCUUCAGGAGAUCCUGGCGGUCUUGUGCAACGCUGUCCACCUGCGCAUGGCUGCAGGGAAGUGGUGGCCCAGGGCCACUCAGAUGAUAGGCUGGUGCCUCCUGGCCUUGUCUGACACCGGGAAGCUCUUGGAGAUGGGCACCGGAGAGGGCAAGUCUUGUGUCAUCGCCAUGUUUGCUGCGCUGCGCGCACUUCGUGGCGAGAAGGUAGAUGUGGUCUCCAGCUCUGCUGUGUUGUGUCAGAGAGAUGCAGAAGAAUGGGCCAACUUCUACUCAUACUUUGGCGUCACAGUUGACACAAACACAAAUAAAAACGAUGACAAGCACAGGAAGGAAUGCUACCAGAAGGACGUGGUCUACGGAACCACUGAAGCUUUCGCCGCGGAUCACAUUCGGCAGAUUUUUGAGAUGAAGGACGUGAGGCCCGAUCGCGCCUAUCAGUGCAUCGUCAUUGAUGAAGUGGACUCGCUGCUCCUGGAUCAGGGCGUGCAGCUGACCUACCUGUCCAGCCCCAUGGCCUGCAUGCAGCAUCUGAACGUUCUCCUGGCCAUGAUCUGGGGCCAUGUCAGCCAGUACGGCUUUUUGACGACAGGACAAGAGACGUUCCUACAGGCCCCCCCCGCUUCGUUCUUCAAGGCCAUAUUUGACUCCAUCGACACAGAAGGAUGUGAAAUUAACGACCCCAUGGACAUUUUACGUAUUGCAGAAGAAUCGCAGGUCGUGCCAGAAGGAUUUGCAGAGGACAUGUACAAAAGCGAAAAAGAGGAACUCUUCAGGAAACUGAAGACAGUGAGUCAGGAUGCAGUGGUCAGUUUUUUCCAAGAACUUGAGGACUAUGUGCCGUAUGGUUUUACUGUCUACACUUUGGACGACGAUGGACUGCUCUGUCUUAGAAAGGCCAGUCCGUACAACAACUGGGACAUUCCAGAGCUGAUGUUUCUGGUCCUGGAGGACGGCUUGUGCUGUGCGCUCUAUGAGUCAGAAGAAACUCUCAUCGAGCCCAUUGCAACUUUAAUCUCCGAGAAGAUUCAGUACACACCUUGUGCAGACCCCAAGGACUGCAUCAGCACGCCGGGGUUCCUG
ensembl:lncRNA